UACGGGGGGGGCAAGCGUUGUUCGGAAUUACUGGGCGUAAAGGGCUCGUAGGCGGCCAACUAAGUCAGACGUGAAAUCCCCAGGCUCAACCUGGGAACUGCGUCUGAUACUUGAUGGCUUGAAUCCGGGAGAGGGAUGCAGAAUUCCAGGUGUAGCGGUGAAAUGCGUAGAUAUCUGGAGGAAUACCGGUGGCGAAGGCGGCAUCCUGGACCGGCAUUGACGCUGAGGAGCGAAAGCCAGGGGAGCAAACGGG
rnacentral:rRNA from 1 species